rnacentral:rRNA from 1 species
UACGUAGGGGGCAAGCGUUGUCCGGAUUUAUUGGGCGUAAAGAGCGUGUAGGCGGCCAUUCAGGUCAGCUGUGAAAACUCGAGGCUCAACCUCGAGACGUCGGUUGAAACCGUUUGGCUAGAGUCCGGAAGAGGAGAGUGGAAUUCCCGGUGUAGCGGUGAAAUUCGUAGAUAUCGGGAGGAACACCAGUGGCGAAGGCGGCGACCUGGGCCAAUAUUGACGCUGAGGUGCGAAAGCGUGGGGAGCAAACAGG